UAAGUCCUUAGAUGAGCAAGGAUUCCAGUAGGCUGGUAGUGUGUCGUUGAUUGGGGUUGGUCUGGGUAAUUGUGUCGAUGCCCAAGUCGAAUUUGUUAGUCGAUUGCCUGAUUUGUUUGGUGCCCCCUUUCUGAUUUGAUUGGGACCUCUCCUUCCACCUCCUUGGAUUAGUUGCUGCUAGUUGGAUGGGUGAUGUUUUCUGGGUAUUUGGAUUUGGAUCCCUUUAAUUUGUUUCCGAUGGCUAGUCAGAUUUACUCCUUCACACCUCCGGUUAAUGAACUUUUUUCAUCUGCAAAAUUCAUAUGCCAAUGACAGUGAGAGUGAUGGUUUUCAUGAAUCGAUCUUAUGGAAGGAGUUAUCUUUUUUUUUUCCUCCCAUGAUGUUAUCUUGAAAAUUCUAAACUCUCCCUCAUGCCAAAUUAGUUGCCUAGGUUAAGUACAUGAAAAAAUUACUGUUAUGACAGUAGGUAUUCAGGUGUCA
rnacentral:lncRNA from 1 species